rnacentral:rRNA from 1 species
UGAGGAAUAUUGGUCAAUGGACGCAAGUCUGAACCAGCCAAGUAGCUUGCAGGAUGACGGCCCUAUGGGUUUUAAACUGCUUUUAUAUGGGGAUAAAGUGGGGAACUUGUUCCCUUUUGCAGGUACUAUAUGAAUAAGGACUGGCUAUUUCCGUGCCAGCUGCCGCGGUAAUACGGAAGGUUCGGGCGUUAUCCGGAUUUAUUGGGUUUAAAGGGAGCGUAGGCCGUUUGGUAAGCGUGUUGUGAAAUGUAGGAGCUCAACUUCUAGAUUGCAGCGCGAACUGUCAGACUUGAGUGCGCACAACGUAGGCGGAAUUCAUGGUGUAGCGGUGAAAUGCUUAGAUAUCAUGAAGAACUCCGAUUGCGAAGGCAGCUUACGGGAGCGCAACUGACGCUGAAGCUCGAAGGUGCGGGUAUCGAACAGG